UGUGAGCUCGAUGAGUAGGGCGGGACACGUGGUAUCCUGUCUGAAUAUGGGGGGACCAUCCUCCAAGGCUAAAUACUCCUGACUGACCGAUAGUGAACCAGUACCGUGAGGGAAAGGCGAAAAGAACCCCGGCGAGGGGAGUGAAAAAGAACCUGAAACCGUGUACGUACAAGCAGUGGGAGCCUCUUUUAUGGGGUGACUGCGUACCUUUUGUAUAAUGGGUCAGCGACUUAUAUUCUGUAGCAAGGUUAACCGAAUAGGGGAGCCGAAGGGAAACCGAGUCUUAACUGGGCGUUAAGUUGCAGGGUAUAGACCCGAAACCCGGUGAUCUAGCCAUGGGCAGGUUGAAGGUUGGGUAACACUAACUGGAGGACCGAACCGACUAAUGUUGAAAAAUUAGCGGAUGACUUGUGGCUGGGGGUGAAAGGCCAAUCAAACCGGGAGAUAGCUGGUUCUCCCCGAAAGCUAUUUAGGUAGCGCCUCGUGAACUCAUCUCCGGGGGUAGAGCACUGUUUCGGCAAGGGGGUCAUCCCGACUUACCAACCCGAUGCAAACUGCGAAUACCGGAGAAUGUUAUCACGGGAGACACACGGCGGGUGCUAACGUCCGUCGUGAAGAGGGAAACAACCCAGACCGCCAGCUAAGGUCCCAAAGUCAUGGUUAAGUGGGAAACGAUGUGGGAAGGCCCAGACAGCCAGGAUGUUGGCUUAGAAGCAGCCAUCAUUUAAAGAAAGCGUAAUAGCUCACUGGUCGAGUCGGCCUGCGCGGAAGAUGUAACGGGGCUAAACCAUGCACCGAAGCUGCGGCAGCGAC
rnacentral:rRNA from 2 species